rnacentral:rRNA from 1 species
UACGGAGGAGGCAAGCGUUAUCCGGAAUUAUUGGGCGUAAAGCGUCCGCAGGUGGCACUUCAAGUCUGCUGUCAAAGACCGGGGCUUAACCCCAGAAAGGCAGUGGAAACUGAAGUGCUAGAGUGCAGUAGGGGUAGAGGGAAUUCCCGGGUGUAGCGGUGAAAUGCGUAGAGAUCGGGAAGAACAUCGGUGGCGAAGGCGCUCUGCUGGACCAUAACUGACACUCAGGGGACGAAAAGCUAGGGGAGCGAAUGGG